AUUGGACAGAAGCUAAAUCAUAA
rnacentral:snRNA from 1 species